GACAGAGGGUGCAAACGUUGUUCGGAAUUACUGGGCGUAAAGCGUGUGUAGGCGGCCGCGACAGUCGGAUGUGAAAGCCCUGGGCUCAACUCAGGAAGUGCACCCGAUACUACGUGGCUCGAGUACCGGAGAGGUUGGUGGAAUUCUCGGUGUAGAGGUGAAAUUCGUAGAUAUCAAGUGGAACACCAGUGGCGAAGGCGAGUCCCUGGACAACUCCUGACACUGAGGCACGAAAGCUAGGGGAGCAAACAGG
rnacentral:rRNA from 1 species